CACACACACACACACACACACAAAGUAAACACAUACAAACACCCCCCCCACACACACACACCCCGUCACCGCAACUACCACACCAGUUAAAUAGAUUAUGCUACAUUUGCCUACAAAUGUCCACAUAAAAUGCAUCCUCGUUUCCUGUGGUUGGCAGUCAGGGUUGCUCCCAGCAUGUUGGCCCUGAUUAAUGUGUGGGAUAUGUGGGUUUGGGGCACUAAAAUAUACACAAGUUUUCAGUGAGGGGCCACACUAUGCUCUCGUCAACAGCCCUUGCUCAUUCUGUUUGUUUCUCACAACAUAAAAUAAACUGCCUGUCAUGUAUAUUUUGAGUAAACUGAGAAGUUUCUUAAGUACAUGUAUGGCAAACCAACUCAUAAAUAUUGGGCUAGCAAAAAAUUCAUUCGAGUUUUUCCAUAACGCAAAUGAAAUUUUUGGUCAAUCCAAUAGAUAACUGAGGAGCUUUUGUUCCAUAGGUAAAUGUGCUUAGACAAUUACCUUACCUUAUUACAUCAUUCAAGUCUGGCAUUGGUUGGCUUUAUCAUCUUUAUAACUACCUGAUAAAGAUAAAAUUCACAUACUAUAUAAUUCAUGCAUUUCAAAUGUUCAAUUCAAUAGUUUUUAGUAUGUUCAUGGAGUUUUGUAACCAUCACUACAACCAUUUUAGAGCGUUUUUGUCACCUCCAAAAGAAACCUCGUAAAUAUUAAUAGUCACUCUCCAUUGUCUCCCACACAGUCCUAGGGAAGCAACAAUCUACUUUCUGGAUUUGCCUAUUCUGGACAUUUCAAAAUAAAUGAAAUCAUACAACGUGACUUUUUGUGUCUGGCUUCUCUCACUUAGAUUGAUAUUUUCAAGGUUCAUCCAUGCUGUAGCAUGGAACAGUACUUCAUUCUUUUUAUUGCGGACUAAUAUUCCAUUAUGUGGGUAUAUCAACUUUUAUUUACUCAUUCAUUAGUUAAUGGACAUUUUGAUUGCUUCUACUUUUUGACCACUAUGAAUAAUGUUGCUAUAAACCUUCAUAUACAAGUUUGUAUAUGUAUACACAUUUCACUGCUCUUGGGUAGAUAUCUAGAUGUGGAACUGAUGAGUCAUAUGGUAAUUUUAUAUUUAACGUUUUGAGGAACUGCCAGACUGUUUUCCAAGUGGCAGUACCAUUUUACAUUCCCACCAGCAGGGUAUGAGGGUUCCAAUUUUCCCAUCUUCUUACCAACACUUGUUAUUAUCUGUCAUUUUGACUAUUAUCAUCCUAGAAGUUAUAAGAUGGUUCAUCCCUGUGGUUUUGAUUUGCAUUUCUCUGAUGGCUAAUGAUUUUGAGCAUGUCUUCAUGUCCUUAUUGGCCAACUGUAUGCAUGUUACAUAUGCUUACUGGCCAUUUGGAGGUAAAUGGGGUGGAGGUAUAUGAUGAAAUUCAACAGAAUUGUGAAGGAAUCAGAUAUAGGAAUGUAUCCUAUAGUUCUUUCCUUUUUUUUUAAAUUUCUGUUAACACA
ensembl:lncRNA